UCGCUAGUAAUCGCGAAUCAGAAUGUCGCGGUGAAUACGUUCCCGGGUCUUGUACACACCGCCCGUCACACCAUGGGAGUUGGUAACGCCCGAAGUCAGUGACCUAACCGAGAGGGAGGAGCUGCCGAAGGCGGGACCGAUAACUGGGGUGAAGUCGUAACAAGGUAAC
rnacentral:rRNA from 1 species